CACACACUAUUCUCGAUGGGGAGACUCCAGGAUGCAGGUUGUCCUCGACUUACAACAGUUCAUUUAGUGAUUGUUCAAAGUUACAACGACCCUGAAAAAAAGCGACUUAGGAACCAUGCUUGGCAACUGAGUCACAUUUAUGACGGCUGCAGUGUCCCGGGAUCAGGUGAUCACCUUUUGAGGCCACCUGAGAAACAGAGUCAAGGAGGAAGACGGAUUCCCUUAACAAGCAUUCAUUCACUUAGCAAUUGUGGCAAGAAAAAUGAAAAGGGAGGCAUAGUUCACUUAACAAAUGUCUUAUUUAGACAUAGAAAUUUUGGGCUUGAUUGUGGUUGUAAGUCGGGGAUUACCUAUAUUCUCAUAAGAAUCCACUUCCUAACAUUUUCUUUAAAUUACUUAGUUUGCAGUUAAGUUUCCCAUUUUCUGUCUUUGUCACCCUGGCUACCCUCUAUCCAGACCACUAACUUCCAAAACACAUGCCAGUAGCCACCAUCAGCCAGUAAGAUUCAGAGGAAAAGUAUGCAGCUAAAACAGGAACUUUGCUAGCAGAAAAGAAGAAUUCGGAGCAUUUUUGAUGUACAUAUUUUAUUUGGCCUUAAAAAAAUAUUCCUCCAUAUUAGUGCCUUCAAAACAUUGGGUUCCUCUUUCUGUCAUCAUGCAAAGAAACCCCUUUGCCCUUACCAAAUAUACUUGCUGUUUUCCAUCAUGAAUAUGUAAUAUUUGUUUUGGGAAAGGUGGAUGUUUACAGUAGAGCCAAUGGCUGCUUGCAUUUUCCAUCGGAUGAAUGGGGACUGCACAGAAGCAGCGCUAGAUGGAUGGCUUGCUUUGCACCACCAUGGAGGGUUUAUUCUCCAUGGUUGCUCGGGGAGAAAUUAACUGUACAGUAAUGGAUUCAUGUCUGCCAGUAAAUCUGCAAUAGAAAUCCAUCCAUAUCCUGCAAAAUGAUUUAUGCAGGAUUUGUUGAGGCUUGCAGUAACUUUCCUUCAAAAAGGGCAGCUCUCUCUCUCUUUUUCUUCAAAAGUCAACAAAACACAUUGGGGAGGUUACAAGGAACAUUCUGAUAUGGGGAAAUGGAAAGACACUUAUUUGUGAUUGCACCAGGCUGAAAGAUAACAACUGCAGUGGAGCAACAUUUAAGUAAGAGUUACAAAUUCUUGCCUUCAAGUUUCUUAACAAAUAGAUUGUUUUACAGAAAGAUAGUGUAAAUUGUUUUUCUUUACAUUUUGAUGUUUUUUUUAAAAGUGUAUAAGACAUCCUCUGUUUUUUAAAUAAAACAUGGUAGAAAAAGACAUGCUUUGCAAAGUAUUAAAUGCAUAACUUUUGGUUUCUUUAUGGUUGUUAAUGUAGUUUUUUUUUAAUAUUCCAGGCACUUGGUAUUAGAUAAUACUGUUUUUCAACUUUGUAUUUCAGAAAACAUAAGUCUUUCCCCAUUAGCUCAGCAAUAGAAGUUAUUUGUAUGUGUUUCUACUGCAUUUACCAAAAUACUUAUAACAUUAUGCAGCGUAGGUAGAAAUAUAAGCUUCCUUCUUGUCUCAAUUAUCCACAACUUCAUCUACAACGUUUUUAUUAUUUUUUGAAAUAUGCAAAUCAAUGUAUGUGUACAAAAUAAAGGAGCAAUGAUACAA